GCACAGUGAAAUGGGCGGGGAGGUGCCCUGCGCAUGCGUGGAGCAGGCCGGCGAGCCUCAAACUUGAAGAGAAAGCGAGUGGGGAGCGGGUCGGUGCCGAUAACAGAGGGACAUAGAGUGUGAGUGUGUGAGGGAAGACACAGAGAGAGGGAGAAGAAUAAAAACAGCAGCCAAACGGCUUCUCUGUGCUUCACGGCCAGCUAACCAUGACAGAGCCGCAGUCGGCACUCUUACUCCGAAGGCAGCUGGCAGAGCUGAACAAGAAUCCUGUUGAUGGCUUUUCAGCAGGAUUGAUCGAUGAUAAUGACCUAUACAGAUGGGAAGUACUUAUCAUAGGCCCUCCUGAUACGCUAUUUGAAGGUGGUGUUUUCAAAGCUCAUCUUACAUUCCCCAAGGACUAUCCUCUCAGGCCGCCGAAGAUGAAAUUCAUCACAGAAAUCUGGCAUCCAAAUGUUGAUAAGAAUGGUGAGGUGUGCAUCUCAAUCCUUCAUGAGCCUGGGGAGGAUAAAUAUGGAUAUGAAAAACCUGAAGAGCGCUGGCUGCCAAUUCACACUGUAGAGACAAUUCUUAUUAGUGUGAUUUCAAUGUUGGCAGAUCCAAAUGGAGACUCGCCAGCCAAUGUAGAUGCAGCAAAAGAAUGGAGGGAAGACCGUAAUGGGGAAUUCAAAAGAAAAGUUGCGCGCUGUGUAAGAAAAAGUCAAGAAACUGCAUUUGAGUGAUGUUUCGUUCACCAGGAAGCUUCACUUUCUGGUGAAUUUACUGAGGCUUGGCGUCUUCAAAGGUCUCCAAUUAAGAACCAACAUGGCACUGUUGACUUUCUGCACUCAACCCACCAAUUGUUGGACCUCUUCAAACUGGUAACAAGUUGGAAAUCCUGGAUAGGCAUUAUGGAGCUGCGAGUGAAUUAUGCCAUCCUCAUUGUUGAGUAAAACCUAUCGUGCCAACUUGGGGAGGGGGGGGACAAAAUGAUGCAUCAGGAUUCCUGUGAACUGCUUUGAUCUUCAGGAGAAAUUGUAAAGACGUGUACAUAGCACAACAUUAUCUGGAUAUUCUAUAUACUGUACUUAGACACCCACAAUAUGCAUUGUACCAAAUUAUAGCUUGCUUGUAGUUAGAGAAUCGUGUAAAUUCUGAAAGAUUUUAGCAAGGGGGCUUUGUGCAUUCAAUUUUCUUAAGUUUACUAUUAAAGCGAAACAAGUCUUGUAAAAGGUAUCUUGCACUGUCAAACUGAAAGUUGCAUUUAUCAAUGUUUUAAAAUGGAUUCCAUUGUGAGAAUGUUUUGCCAGAUAUUCUGAUGCAUUAACACUUGGCCUAAAAUAUUUUGGGCAUGAAUAAUUUGCAGAUGUUCAAAUUUAAUAUGCAGAUACUUUUGGUUCUACAGCAAGGGGUUAAAGUUUAUACCUGAAUUUGAAAAUUAGCCAAGGUGACCUCAUUAGUCUUCACUGCCCAACUGCUGAAACAAUGUUUUGAGCUCGACUUGUGGGGAGUGUUUGAAGUAGGUUUCACAUGUUUAGGUGUAGGCUUUCACCCUUCUCAGUGGGAGUUUGAGGACUUUUUUGGUAUUAAAAUGCUGUUUGUGUGUGUGUGUUUUCUUUCCUUUCUAGCUAUAAUGCAGAUUUUCUGCUGGAGUGUACAAAGAGAAAUGGUGAUGUAUAUUUUCAUGUAAUUUGAUUUUUGGAAUUCUGUCACCUGUAGUGAAAGUUCUUCCAAAAUAUAAUUGUUUUCCAGUA